rnacentral:misc_RNA from 1 species
GCAAACUUGGUCAUUUAGAGGAAGUAAAAGUCGUAACAAGGUUUCCGUAGGUGAACCUGCGGAAGGAUCAUUAUCGAGUUUUGACUGGGUUAGAGCUGGCCUUCCGAGGCAUGUGCACGCCCUGCUCAUCCACUCUACACCUGUGCACUUACUGUGGGUUUCAGACGGUGUUAGCGGGCCUUUACUGGCUUGUGAAGUCGUCUGAGCCUGCGUUUAUUACAAACACUUUAAAGUAUCAGAAUGUGUAUUGCGAUGUAACGCAUCUAUAUACAACUUUCAGCAACGGAUCUCUUGGCUCUCGCAUCGAUGAAGAACGCAGC